GUCGACGGCGUGGGUUACUUCGGUGGCGGAGUUCGAUCCACGGUGGAAGGAAAAAGAAGAGUGAGGUUGUUUAGAUCGCAGUCAGCUUGGUAGAUGGCGUUGAAGGGAAUUCGCGGCGGCCAUGGCGGUUAGCCGGAAGUUGUUGAAGGAUGUUAAGGGCGGAGAAUUCGAGACGUACGGUGGAGUGUGUAUGUUAUGGUGGUGUUUGUUGGAAGGUUUGAGUUUAUGAAGAAGAAGAGGAUUUGAAGGAAUUGAGUGGGUAAGGGUGUGACGGCAGUGCGUUUUUUCAAGGGGAAGAAGAAGGUGGAUUUCAGUGUUUUGUGUGUGUGACGUUUGGGAGCAGAAGAAGUAUUCCUCCCUUUUUGUUUUUUUCUGUCCCAUGAGUCCCCUUUUUCUUGAGACAGAGUGGUGAUCCCCACGUGAAGAAGAAAUCUCUUUGUUUCCCCUUUUUCCCCGUUAGCCAGCUGUUCCUCCAUUAAUAAAAUCCCAUUUUUGUUCUUAUCCCAUCUCUCCCAAUAACAUGAUGCCACGUUUCAUGUUGAGAGUAUGGAUAAAAAAUCUUCUCAAAUGCAAGCUGUCAAACGUGUAUCUUUCACAAGUAUACAACUUUAUUUUUAAUUUUUAAUUUUUAAUGUUAAUAUUAAUAUUAUUUGAUUUUUCAUGAUUAAUAUUAUUAUUAAUUGAUUUUUGAUUGGAUAAUGGAAUAUGAUAACGAUUGCAAAUGAGAUCCGUGGAUUAAUUUGUAUCAACGAUCCUGAUUAAUCCAAAGAAGCACAAGCAAUUUUAAAAUGUCCGAUAUGUCCCUUUUAUAUGAUUUUAAUUGAUUUAAAAUAAUUUAAAUCAUCAAAUCAAAUUAAAUUCGCAUCUUUCUAAAUACAUACGAUAAAAAUAAAAUGAGAAUACGAAAAAUUCUAUUUAUUUCUUUUGAACAUUUUGGCGAAAGAAUAAAAAUAAAAUGACUAAAAAUUAAUAAAAGUCGGACGAAAAUUUGUUUAAAAAAUUAAAUCGGACGCACUAAAAUGAUCAGCGCGAAAUAUACUUAUUGAAAAAAUACAUCAUUUCUUUUAAUUUUGAAAUAAAUUUUGACCGAUUGAAAGGCUUAGACGGAUCAAAAUGCGAUUGAAAAAGUCGUCGAAAAAUAUAACGAGCACACCAUGUUAAACUACGCAGACCAUAGAUUAAUAAUACUGGCGUAUGCAAGUUUAAUUUUGAAACUUUUUACACGCUGAUUUUGCACGUACUUGAGAAAUGAUUUAACCAAUUUGUCUAUAUUUUCAAUAAUUUAUUUCGACCGAUAUUUUAAGUAUUAUUCAUGAUGAAAUGCAUGUUAUGCUGUACAACUGAUGCAAAUUAAAAAUGAAAUCAAGUUUAUGAAAAAUUUAAAAUGUCUGGACAAAAUUGGGGUAUGACAGCUGCCCCUAUUUAGUUACCUUGAUCCGGAAAGUAAGAAUUACAGCAGUGUCCGUAAAUUCGUGGUGGAAGGUAAUUAAAUACGAAAAGACCCAAAUUUUGUCCUUUGAAAUGUGAUGGAGAAAUGUAGAAAGAAAAUGUAACGAAUCCUAACGACAUCCAGGGUAUUAGGGGUAGAAUAUCCGAUCAAUGCCAACCCUCGAGUCGACAUUUAAAUCUUGCAAAGGUCGUUAUUGAUAUGAGGACAAACCUGAGCAGGUUUUCUGGCACCAAAAGGAUGACAAUAGAAUUAAUUGCCAUCACCAAAAGGGUGAUAGUAAUUCACCAUGAUUUCCGGGAUCGUCAUCACCAAAAGGAUGAUGGAAUACCAAGCUUCAAAGGUAGUCAUCACCAAAAGGAUGAUGGUUAUCCUGAUAAAGCUUUCCAUUACCGAGGGGGUAAUAUUAAGACUAUCAUCAAAAGGACGAUAGUUAACUCAUCAACUUCAAAGAUCACCGUCACCAAAAGGAUGAAAGUAAGUUCAACGACAAAACUUAUUAUCACCAAAAGGAUGAUGCUAAGUCACGGCAACUUCAUUGGAUCACCAUCACCAAAAGGAUGAAGGUAACAUUAACAACAAAACUUGUUAUCACCAAAAGGAUGAUAAAAAGUCAACAAUCACCAUCACCAAAAGGAUGAAGGUACUACCAAACAACAGAACUUGUUACCACCAAAAGGAUGAUAAUAAGUCAACAAUAUUAAUGAUCACCAGUAUCCAAAGGAUGAAGGUAAGAUCAACAACGAAACUUGUUAUCACCAAAAGGAUGAUAAUAAGUCACAAACUUCAAAUGAUCACCAUCACCAAAAGGGUGAAGGUAAGAUCAAAUAACAGAACUUGUUACCACCAAAAGGAUGAUAACAAGUCAUCAACCACCAUCACCAAAAGGAUGAAGGUAAAAACAAACAACAAAGCUUGUUACCCUCAAAAGGAUGAUAAUAAGUCAACAACUCAAAUAAUCACCAUCACCAAAAGGAUGAAGGUAAGAUUAAUAACAAGACUUGUUACCACCAAAAGGAUGAUAAUGAGUCACAAUCACCAUCACCAAAAGGAUGAAGGUAUUAUUGAACAACAAAACUCGUUAUCACCAAAAUGAUGAUAAUAAGUUACAACAACUUAAAUGAUCACCAUCACCGAAAGGAUGAAGGUAAGAUCAGAACAAAACUUGUUACCACCAAAAGGAUGAUAGUAAGUCGAGACAAACUUUAAUGAUCGCCAUCACCAAAAGGAUGAAGGUAAGAUCAAAUGACAAAACUUAUUACCACCAAAAGGAUGAUAAUAAGUCAAAAACUUCACAUGAUCACCAUCACCAAAAGGAUGAAGGUAUGAUCAACAACAAAACUUGUUACCUCCAAAAGGAUGAUAAUAAGUCACAAACUUCAAAUGAUCACCAUCACCAAAAGGAUGAAGGUAUGAUCAACAACAAAACUUAUUACCACCAAAAGGAUGACAAUAAUCUUUAAUAAUGAGAGGUCUCCAUUCACCAAAAGGAUGAAGGUUGGACCCAAAACUUCAAGGAUCUUCGACACCAAAAGGAUGACGGUAAGAUCACAAAUGUCAAGGGUUUACCAUUACCAAAAGGAUAACGGUUAUCAUAAACAAGGAGAUGAUUAAUAUUAUUCCUCAAUGAACUUUCACCAAAAGAAUGAUAGUGAGAAAAAUAUUUGGAAUAAUAAAGCUACUGACAAAGUUCAAUAAACCCGACUUGUUGGGUAGUAUUAGAACGUUACUGGGUAAGACUUGCUUGGGGUAUCGACAAUAAAAGGUUGCAGAAAAAUAUUCUCUGGAAAACAUAAUUUCCAUCAACAAAAGGUUAAAAGAAACAUCUCAUCGAGGAACGCUCAAUGAGAAACAAGGUAGGGGUUUGAAGAAAAAUUGUUCGACUUAGAUGAGGGUAACACCUUAUUAACAAAAGGUUAGAGGAUGUAAAUCAACGGGGAACACCCAACAAUACAAGGUAAGAACUCACUCAGAGAAAAUAAUAAAUGACUCAACUGAGGGUUGGCCUGGACACCUACGACUAAACCUUGGAUCUUGAUUCGUGCUAUAUGCAUGAAUGUUAUGUAUGCGUUAUGUAUGAGAUGAUGUAUGCAGUGCAUGUUUGAAUGUAAAGGAUGAUUGGUUUGUUUAGAAUUGGUCCCCCCUUUUCAAAGGAGAUGUAUUUUCUGGAAACAAAUACUGGUUGUAUUUGUUUUUGUGUGGGUUCCAACAAGGUGGACUUUGGGUUUUUUGGUAAUUGCCAAUAUGAGUUUGAUUGUUGGUGGGUGAAAGGAUCUGACUUCCCGACACUUGGUAGUUUAUGAUCUGAUGAACACGCAAUGGAUGUGGAUACGCUCGAUGCCCUAAGUUUGAUUUCUUGCUGUUAUGUUGUGUCUUUGCCCCUGAGGGGAACUCGACUUCUUCUUCUGAGAUGUUGGGUCAGCUUGUAACCGAGCAUAGUGACAUGAUCAACGCAUGAUGAUUAUGCUUUUGACGUGCCGCAAGGUUUCUUGUCAAGAUGUGAUAUUGUACCGGUAUGAAGUUUUGACAUUUUGGUUGUGAUCUUAGACAGUUUCUAGUGUCUGACACAAUCUGCCUGACCGACUUGAAGAUAUGAAGUGAAUUUUCCCCUUGCAACUUGUCUUGCCCAGUCUGUAGGGUGUUCAAAGGAAUUAUCCUUGAAAGGAAACCCUUAGGAGUGAUUAUCCCAUGACAUGGUCUGAGUCUGUUUCCUCCAACGUUUGUCUCUUGUGGUGGGAUAAACACAGAAAUGGAUAACAAAUGGUUUUGAACUCGGCAUUCAUGUCGUGUGAUUUUCUCUCUUCUUCUUUUUUUCUCGUGCAUAACUCAUAGCUUUGGGGGUUUAUCCACUUUUGGCUCUUUUCAACUCAAUUCUUUGUGAGCAUUUUAAAGGUGUUAGAGUCUUAAGUCUCGGCAAGUGCAUUUUCUUUUUUUUUUUUUCUUUUUGGACAUACACAUGUCUCUACUUUUUGUAUUGCUUUUAGAUCUCUUAUUAUGCACUUGCCCUUUCUUUCAAGAUUACCACCCCAAACUUAGCUUUUUGCACAUCUUGUAACUCACAACAAUCAUGCCGAGUGAUGGGAUGAAAUGAACGAUUAAUGGUCAACAUGGGGUUUAUUACGAACAAAAUGGCUAAGGCUCAACGGGGUUCACGAAGGGUAAACAUAUAAACAUGGAUGGCUAGAAAGGCUCUGGAUUAAACAAACAACUUGCCUCAGUGCGUGUUGUCAUGCUGUGAAGUGUCAAAAGAACAUACGCAAAAUCAGAGUGAUAGAGUCAUACCUGGCUGAACUCUCAUGAUAUUUAGUGUUUGGCCUUUUUAUUCUCACCAUGUUGGUUAAACUUACAAGCUCUGAAGCCUCCUAGUGUCAUGUGGUUUCUUUUCUGAUUCGGUUCUACCAUACCGCUCUCUUGGUCCAGUGUCACCAAAUUGUGUCCGACUUUUACUUUCUCAUGGUUGCAUCAACUUCCGGGGUACCUUAAUAGAACAAGUAUGAGGGGUGUCUUUCAUCCACUACAACCGAUCCCGGAUUCGUCCACAAUUUCUCAUCACUCUGUACACACCGAUAAACAAUAAAAACAAACGUUGAAGGAAAACAUGAACAAAAUGAAAACGAAAUAAAACAUGAAAGGAAAACCCCUCCCCCCCCCCACACCUGAACUAAACAUUGACCUCAAUGUUUAAAUCCAGAUACAAAGGGGACUCACAGCGACUACUGUUGUUUUACUGCACUUGUGUGGUUUCCUUCCAUUUUGAGGUGUUUGUGACUUUAUUAAAUCCAGAUACAAAGGGGACUCACAGCGACUACUGUUGUUUUACUGCACUUGUGUGGUUUCCUUCCAUUUUGAGGUGUUUGUGACUUUGCCCUUCUAAUUCUCCUCCUCCCCUACAACAAAAUUCUAGCACACAAAAAGAAAAAGAAAAACGAAAUAAAUUAGAAAUCAAACGCGUGGGUUGCCUCCCACGAAGCGCUUCCUUUAACGUCGCAUGGCUCGACGGUUCAUUUCCCUUAUCAUGGGGGGUAUUUCAGGUUCAAAACCUUGUUGCACCUCUUGUCUCUAACUCGGACGUUGUCUCUUUUAUCAGUGUUGACUCCUUUGCACCACGUUCCUUUUUAACCUUCCUUUCGAUGUUAGGAAUCUUCCCGUUUAGGGUGGCUACUGGCAGUGGUGAGACUUUGAUAGUAUUCAAUGUCCUGAUUAAGCCUACUUGAUACUGAGAUUUUGUAUCUUCCUCCAUAUCCUGGUCUUCAAUAGCUUUCAAUGUUAUUUCCUUGUUGUGAACUUUCAAGGUUAACGUGCACUCAUCCAUGUCGAGCUCGCAUCGACUCGUCUUCAUGAAAGGUCUACCCAGAAUGAUGGGUGCCUCAUUGUCUUCAGGUAUGUCUAGGAUUACAAAAUCGACUGGGAAAGUCAAGUCCGCUAUUGUUACCAACACAUCUUCAACCAUACCAUACGCAUCUUUUCUUGAGUGAUCCGCAAACUUCAGAUUGGUCUUUAUAUCACUGAUAUUUCUAAUACCCAGCCUGUGAUAGAUCGAUAAUGGCAUCAGAUUCAUACUAGCUCCAUAACCUAUUAGUACCUUUUUGAAGGUUCUUUCUUUGAUUGUGCAUGGUACUGUGACGGUUCCUGGAUCCUUUUAUUUGUUAGGAAUGUUCUGCUCCAGGGAGUUUGCAUUAUAUUGUUCCUUACCGGAUACCUGUUCUUCAGUGGUUGGUUUCUUUUCAGCCAUUACCUCUUCCACGAAUUUCUUGUACAUGGGCAUCCUUUCAAGUGGUUCAAACAAAGCCAUAUGACCCUCAAUCCUUUUAAACAUUGUCAUGAAUUUCUCCAAGUCUGACUCACUAGGUUCCUUCUUUGUCAUUCUCUGAGGGUAGGCAACUUAAUCACCGGUUUAGUUCCUUUUGUAGUUUCUUCUUGAGUCGGCUCUCUCGGUGAUGUAAUUUUUUCUUUUUAGCAGCCUUUUUCUCUGUCGUCGUGACAGUAUUAAACAUCUCUGACCUCUCGGAUUUUGAACUGUUUCACUUGGUAGGGAACCUGGUGUUCGAGAACUUGCCAGUUGCUGGGCUAUCUGCCCCAGCUGAACUUCGAGAUUCUUUAGGGAUGCGGCGAUGUUUUUCUGAUUGUUUCUAGUCUCUUCUUCAAAUUGCCCAUUUUGAGCUGCCGUCUUUUCAAUUGCAAUCUCCCAAUCUGCCUUCUUUGGGACUUGAUUUUGCUGUUGCUGAUAUUGGUUUUGAUAUUGGCCUUGUACUUGCUGUUGCACAUUCCCUUUCUGAUCCCUCCAUGCAAAGUUUGGAUGAUUCUUCCACCCCGGGUUGUAUGUGUUGGAGUAGGGAUUGUUUUGCUUUAAAAACUUGAUAUCUUCUAUCUGUUGCGGUGUUGCAAAGCAAUGAACAGUAUUGUGUGGUCCAUUACAAAUGCCACACACAUCGUUAGGUGCCUGUUGUACUUGAGCCACUUUCUGCGCACCUAUGUUUAGUGCCUUCAACCUUUUCUCCACCUCUGCAACAACUGCUUCUUCAAUUUUUACCUGUUUGUUUAUUUUAAGCUUCAAAUCAAUUACUGCAGAUUUGCUUGACACCCUAUCAUACAACUCCAGAUGCUCAUUUGAGGAAAUUGCUUCAAUUAUCUUCUUCAUACCGGUGGCUGUUGCAAAGUUAGCUGAGCCACCAGCUGUUGAGUCAAGGAUUUGUCUCGUUUGAAUUCGAAGACCAUUAACAAACAUUUGCAUCUGCUCAGUUUCAUCCAUGUUGUGAGUAGGACAAGCCACUAGGAUUCUCUUGAAUCUUUUAUAGGCAUCUCCUAUCGUUUGAAUUCGAAGACCAUUAACAAACAUUUGCAUCUGCUCAGUUUCAUCCAUGUUGUGAGUAGGACAAGCCACUAGGAUUCUCUUGAAUCUUUUAUAGGCAUCUCCUAGUGACUCACCCUCCUUUUGCUUGAAGUUUAGGAUCUCCUAUCUUUUUCUCAGUGACAUAGAUGCGGGAAAAUAUUCCUGCAAGAAUGUUGUUUCCAUCUGCUCCCAUGUAGUGAUACUGCCAGCCGGUAAGGAAUAGAAUCACUCUUCGGCUUCAUCUGCUAAAGUGAAUGGGAACAUACGAAGCCUUAUUGCUUCUUCGUUAUGUCCAGGCAUUUUCAGCGUUGUGCUCAUAGUUAAAAAUCUUUGCGGAUGCUUGUUGGCAUCUUCAUUCACUCUUCCAGAAAAGGACCGCCUUUCGAGUUGAUUAAUUAUGCUGGGAUGCAAUUGAAAUUGUUUUACAUUAACCGGGUGGUUUACAAUUGUCAUCCGACCACCCGGAGUGUUGGUUCCACCAUUGUCACCGAGAAGUCUCUCGGGUGGUGGUGGUGGUGGUGGGUUUGCAGCCAUGAUUUCAGGAACUAUUUCCGCGUCUGAAUCUGAAUUCUCUGAGUGCACUGAAACAACUUCCUCCUCUGCUUUCUUUGCUAAUUCCAGUUUUUCUCUCUUAGCUUGUCUUAGUCUAGCACGAAGAGUUCUUUCUGGAUCUGCGUCAAAAGAAAAAUCCGCUGAGGCCUUACCUCGCAUAAACAAGUUAGACAAAUAUUAGAAUUGAAUAACAAGAUUGUCACAGAUAAAAUUUUGGUUGACGAGCAGAUAUAAAUUCACAAAACCAACCAAACCCUUGUCUUUUUGUUCAAAUAGAAUCAGAAGUAAAAUAAGUAUUUCCCCCGCAAUCCCUGAGAUCGAUACUUGGAAAUAAAAUCCUAUUACAUCAAUCGCGUAAAAAAGUACACUUGCUAAUUCCGAUCAAGUUUUUGGCGCCGUGUCGGGUAAUGCCAAAUAAAACCUAUUUUAAUUUUUAAUUCUUAUUAUGAAAUUUUACAAAAAAAGUUGCUCAGCAAACCAAAAAAUAUUUAUAUGCCUGUAGUGACACACAUCUUAUCAAUCUAAUAUUGAUACGCCAAAAUUAAACAAUUGUUUAUGCGAGACAGUAAGCCUCAAGCGGAUUUUCUUUUAUGACGACAAUCCACGAAAGAACUACUUCGUGCUAGCACUAGAGACAAGCAAACGGAGAAGAAAAACAAUGGAAUAGCAAAGAAAGGCAGAGGAGGAGGAAAGAUUGUUUCAGUGCAACUCAGGAGAAUUCCGAUUCAGACGCGGAAAAUAAAUACAAAAAUCGUUCCUCGACAAUAUCAAAUGGCAAUGCAAAACACCCACACCACACAACAACAACACUCCAAACCACACCACACACCUGAGAAAAAAACUUAUCGAACCAAGAUAACAAGAUUGAGUGGAAAACCAAACCACUCCGGGUAGUGGACGAUGACAAAAUGUGAAACACCCAGGUAUGAUUAAAAACACAUUAAAUUACAAUUGUACCCAGCAAUAAUUAAAAUGCAAACUCGAAAAGAACGACACGUUCAUUUAUAUAAAUCUGGAAAGAUAAAAAAAGAUACAGCGAGUAAACAACAAAACAUUGUUGAAUGAAAAAAUGGUAGGAACCACAAACAAAAGAAAAAAGCAAACAAAAAAUACAAACCAACGAGGACAAAAAAACAAAAAAAGAAGAAAAGAGAAUAAAGAGAAAUAAUUACUUAACUCAUGAGCCAACAACGGCUUGAGAAAAUGCCCUGAACCAUAACGAAGAAGCAAUUAAGGAGUUCGCUAGUCCAUUACUCUUAGCAGAUGAAAGUCACGAAGGAGGUGAUAUACAUCAUCAAACUUAAAGCCGAAAAAAAGUGCUCGGCCAAAGAAUCAACCACAUCGGAGCAAGAGUGGAACUAUAAAACACAACAUUCUUGCAGGAAUAAUUAGUCGACAUAUAUAGAGUCCACUAGGAGAAAAAAAAAGAAAUAAAAAAAAAAAGAACCAAAGCAAUUAAAAUAGCAAAAACAGCAGCCUGGGCAUUGUUACAGGAAGCAUCAAUCAAAUAAACCAACACAAAACACGAAAUUCAAAUUUCUGGAAAAAUUAAAAACAUGUAAGCUACAUUGAACAAGCCAGGGUUCUAUGGUUUUUUUAGAAAACAACAGCCAUAACAACCACAUCAUCAUUCAAAACAGCAACCAAAAACAACAGCAUUACAAAAUAUGCUAUUUCGACAGUGGAAUUCUCUUUCUGAAAGACAUGACUGAUUUGGCAACUAACAUAACCAGCUGCAUUCAUCAUCCUUCUACUAAUGUUAACCUACAUCAAUCAUAUAACAAGAUUUCAGAAUAGAGAAAGGCCCUAGUUCACAGAGGUGAACAUUCCCUCCCUCUCUUGGCAACCUAAGACAAGAGUCCUCUCCGUUUCACUACCUCCUGCCGAUUCCCCGGUUGUUCCCCCCCCCCCCCUCCCCCCGUUGUUGAGAGCAGAUUACCUCCUUGUGAAGUUUUAGCACUCUCCGCACAUUCUUCCUUUUUUCUCCAUGACCCCAUAGAGCGGGGACCAUCUCCUCCGCAAGCGGCACCCCCCCAUAAGCCAAAACCAAACACAAACAACCAAAUUCGGAGCCCAAGUAUGCUGGGCUAUUGUUAUUUGUUCAAACAACAGCAAAGCAAUCAUGUUCAUCAUGCAAUCAAACAGUCGAUCACAAUUGAAACUCAAACUAGCAGUGGGCGUAGCAAACAUGGGCAUUUGGUACAAGUUUGUUCAUGCCAACAUCACUUCACUCACACAAUCUGUCCCAAAAGUCUAAUUAAUUGUUUAACAACAGACAAGCAUAAGGCAAAGGAAAUUCCUGAUGAUGGCGCAGAGCUAAUAUUAUGAACCACAACCCAAACAGGUUAAUUAGCGAAUAUCAGAGAAUUCCUACAUCUCGCAUGGCUUCUCUCAAUUAUACAUCAUAACAAGUGUCGUGGAGCAAUAGGAAACCACAAUCAACCCAAAAUGGCCGUUAGCAUUGUGGCUUCGUCGCUAUUAAUGGAACAUCACAGGCCUUAGCAACAUCAACAACAACCAAAUUCUACAAACAUAUAGACACGUGUGGUGCAUCAUANUGGUUGGUUUUGUGAAUUUAUAAUAAUAAACACAAAAAGAUAGUAGAAAUAAUUGAUUAAGAUAAAAUAUGCUAGGGUGAGUGGUUGAUUUAACCAGUUAUGAAUUCAGUCAAGAUUUCCUUAAUACACAUGAAACAUUCAAUUACCUAACCGCAUAAUGUUCUUCCUUAAGUCCUUAAGGAAGAAACUAUUAAACUACCAAUUCUUACUCAAAUGUCCAUUCAAUUAAUCAUUGGUUUUAAUCAUAAACAAUAUCAAGGUUUAUGGUGAUUCACAAAUGUUCCUAGUCCUAGGUGAUGCAAUUAUAAACCCAAUUGUGUGAAAACACUAACAAUCACAAUCCUGUUAUUGAUAGUCAUAGAUCUAUUUGUAUUUGUCUGAUACAAAAGCAUAAGCACAUCAGACAAUUGAAUUGAAAUUCGUAACAUAGUAAUAAGGAAAUCCAUAGAUAGAAUUCAUAACAUCAGACCAAAUCAGGACCACCCCCCUAGCAUUGGGGGUUUAGCCUCUCAUAGUAUUCAAAGAAAUCAUAGUAUAGAAAUUAAACAUUACAAAGAAUGAGGAGAUUUUGAUCUUCAAUGGGUGAUGCCCUUGAAUCUCGCCGUCUUUGAAUCCUCCGUAGUAGCUAUCUUCUCCGGUGCAAUGUUUCUUUUCGUACGUCAAAAAGUGUCUUCUCUAUCUCUCCAAAGUCUUUUAAUAGCCUCAGAUGGUUUUUCCCCAGUAAGAAGUCCAAAAUACCCUUAAUGAACAGGGCAGAUCCACACAACAAAAAGUAAAAUUUCUCAGCCGCGCCCAUCAACACUGGCAGUGUGGAUACACAUGGGUGCCCGUGUUGAUUCACACGGGCCGUGUGAAUUUACAUGGGUACCCGUGUUGUUUUCAAGAGUUAUGUUUUUUAAAGCAAGCUACAGAGGCAUCAACACGGGCCGUGUUGAUGCACACGGGUGCCCGUGUUAACCCUCUAUUUUACCUCCUGGAGUGCUUGUUUCCGGACAAACAACACGGGCCGUGUUGAUGUACACGAGGGCUCGUGUUGACCUACUGUAUCUUCAUAUUUUGGCCUUCCGGAGCAUCCAAUACUCGGCUAUUAGUCCUUUGGAACCUAUGCACAACCUGCAACAUUAACACUACCAAAUCGAAGCAUAAAAAGAGACUUUUUGACAUAAACAAGUAACAAAAUGCAAUGCACUAAUAAACUAACAAAACUUGUUAAAUGACUUUAAAAUAACUAAAAACAACCACAAGUCUGACCAAACUGAUGAAAAUAUGUCGGAUAAAAGGUGGGAAUUCAAUGGAAAUGGUGACCGAUCAUCGGUUAUUCUUCUGUGCUUCAGCCAAGCUGACUCACCGAUACAACACUCGCGCCAAUCAACCCAAGAUCUUGGAACAUUUGGAACAAGAGAACAAGGAGCUGAAGGAUGAGAUUGCAUGGUUGACUUCCAUGAUGGAGGUUGUUCUUGCUCCGCAUAAUCAGUCUUCACCAACUCCCGCAACUCCUCCAUAGAGGAUUGUCGUUUCUUAGGUUUCUACCUCGACUAUUCCUGUUGAUGUUAGCCAAUCCGGGUUUUCUAUGCCUGCUGGAUUCCCAUAGGAAAUGCCGCCAACAUUUGUGCCUGAAGGGUUUAUGCCUACCUUUGUUUCUAUGCCAGAAUCUAGCCCGAUCAUGUCUAUGCCUCCUCUAGUUGUUCAUACUUUGCCUCGUGUUGAGGGCACCAUCAACCAUUCUGAGACAUCUGAGGGACCAGAUGUUUAUGAGAAGAUGGAUGAAAUAAAGGAUCGGUUCCUUGAGUUGCAAAAAGAGAUGAAAACAUUGAGAGGAAAGGACCUGUUUGGUAAGAGUGUUGCUGAACUCUACUUGGUACCAAAUGUGAAAAUCCUGAUGAAGUUCAAGGUCCAUGACUUUGAAAAGUAUAAGGGAAAUGCUUCUCUAUUUAGUCACCUUGUUAUGUACGCCAGGAAGAUGUCAACUCAAACUAAUAAUGAUUAGUUGUUGAUUCACUAAUUUCAAGACAGUUUAAUCGGUGCUACUCUGAGAUGGUAUAUGGAUCUAGACAGUGCAAGUGUUCAUACUUUCAACGAUUUGGGUAAAGCUUUUGCUAAGCAGUACAAGUAUAAUGUGGAUAUGGUGCCUGAUAGACACCAAAUAAGGUAUAUGUCUCAGAAGGAUAAGGAGACGUUUAAAGAGUAUGCUCAGAGGUGGAGGGAACUUGCUGCUCAGAUUAAUUCUCCAUUAGAAGAGAAAGAGAUGACGAAGAUUUUCCUUAAGACCUUGAGUUCAUUUUAUUACGAACGUAUGAUUGCCAGUGCCCCUAGUGACUUUACCGAAAUAGUAAACAUGGGGAUGAGGUUAGAAGAGGGAGUCCGUGAUGGACGUCUGUCUAAGAAAGAAGCGUUGUCCAAUAAGAAGUAUGGAAGUGGUUUCUCCAAAAGAAAAGAGGCGGAAACUAAUUCACUAUCUGUAGGGAGGCUGAGGAGGCCUCAUGUUAGAAGGAGUUCCCAACCACGUCAGCAUCAACAUCAAGUCUUUUCAGUGAUUCCCGUCUUUUCCAAUAGUUCCAUUAAUCAACUUGUUCCAAUUCAACAACAACAACAACGUCAACAACAACCGCAGCAAAGAACCACCACCACCACCAACAAUAAUCAACAAUAAAACUUUGAGAGGAAGAAGGUCUCUUUUGACCCUAUUCCUAUGUCAUACGCCGAAUUAUAUCCAUCCUUGGUUCUCAAGAACCUACUUCAACCCAGAAAUCCACCGCAAAAUCCCGAGCCACUUCCAUGGUGGUUCAAACCUGAACUCCGUAGUGCCUUUUACCAAGGAGCCCCUGGCCAUGACAUUGAUAACUGCUAUCCAUUGAAGUAUGAAGUACAAAAGCUUGUGAAGAGUGGGAUGGUGUCGUUUAAGGACCGUGCGCCUAAUGUGAAAGCCAAUCCUUUACCUGCUCAUGGUAAUGCUUCAGUCAACAUGGUUGAUGGUUGUCCUGGGGAGUUCAAUAUUUAAGACAUCCACUAUAUCAGAAGGUCCUUAGUGGCAAUGCAUAAGGAUAUUCGUAUGGUUAGUGAAUGUGAGCAUGACCAUGAUGGUUGUGCAAUCUGUAGUGUGAACCCUCGAGGAUGUGUUAUUGUCAAGAGGGAUAUUUAAAGGUUGGUGGAUGAAGGUCUUAUCCAAAGUUUUCAAUCCCGUCACUUGGGAAAUGAUGUUAAUGUGAUUGUUCCUAUGUUUAAGACCCCUGAGUGGGUAGUAAUCCAGUUCAAUAGUAGUAGCAGUAACAACGUUAAUAGAUCGGUAUCAUCGUUAGUAAUACGGUUAACAGGCCCCAUCCCGUAUGCAUCCGAUAAAGCUGUGCCUUAUCAGUAUAAUGCCACAAUGGUGGAGAAUGUCCAAGAGGUUCUGUUUCCCGUAGCAGAUUUUGUGGUGAAUAUAGCUGAUAUUGCAAAGGUGACCCGUAGUGGUCGUGUCUUCAGCCUGUAAGAAGGUGGAUGUGCCUGUGGUGAAUCCAGUUAGUGCUCCAGUUUGUCAGUCUGGUGAAUCCAUCAAGCUGAAGCCUAAUGAUAAUGAUGAAGUUUUGAGGUUGAUAAAAAGAAGUGAAUUCAAUGUGGUGGGGCAGCUUAUCUAAACCCCAUCAAAGAUUUCAGUGUUGUCUUUGUUCAUGAACUCCGAAGCACAUAGAGAAGUGUUGCAGAAAGUCUUAGAGCAAUCCUAUGUUGAGCAUGAUAUCACUGUGUGUAGCGGUAAAUUCAUGAUCAUCCAGCUAUGGAUAAGCUGGAGAUCAAUAAAACCAGAGUCGCCACCGCGCUUUUAUUAUUUUCAAGGGAAAAGGGAAAAAGUACGAACAAAACCCAAAAGUAAGAAGUUUUCAAAUCAAAACUAAUAAAAUGUCAGAGAUUACAGGUAAGGGGGUUGGUUACACAGAGGGAAGGUGUUAGAACCCAAAGUGUUCUAGGUACUCCAAGGGAGCCCUUUCUUGUGUGCGUAUGUAUUUUGUACAAAGUGAUGUUUACAAACAAAUAGAAUGGAGGGAUGAGAAAAGAAUUCAUUAAUUAUAUUUUUAUGUUUGAAAAGACCUUCGGACUUAUGCCUACAUACUGUAAGACCCUAAUUUUGACCCUAAGAUCCCUCAUGGCAUCAUAACAUUGCAUUUGCAUCAUAGCCUCAAGGAAAAUUUGCAUCUUGGUUCCCUUUGCCUUUGGGUGGGAUCUCUUGAGAUUUGGUUUGAGAUCACCAAGCAUGCUUGAAUUGUAUAUUAUUGCUUUUCUCAUUUUAUUUACUAACCAAAAGCACAAAAAUAUGUCACUAACAUCUUUUGUUUGUAGCUUGAGCAGUCAGUAUAUUAUUGCUUUUCUCAUUUUAUUUACUAACCAAAAGCACAAAAAUAUGUCACUAACAUCUUUUGUUUGUAGCUUGAGCAGUCACAAGGUCUAAAGCUUCUAGGAGAUCCUAUGUGCAUUGAUAUGGUUAAGAGAAGGUGAAAGCAAGCAUGGAAAUGGUUCCUAAAGCUAUCAUCCAUCAAAUAUGCCUCCCAAGUAUCUCAAUUUAUCAUUUUGAUCAAAGCAAACAAGGGGCUUGAGGCUUGUUUUCCAAGGGAACCCUACUUCAUCUGUUCAUCAACUAUGCCUUGCUCAUGAAGCAACCUCAGCCCAUGAUCAAAUUCAAUCAAGGGAAGUUCUUUAAUUCAUCAUUUCAUGCAUAUUUGAACUUAUUUGAGUGUCCUCAAUCAUCAACUCAUCAAGAUAUGAGUUUUGGACUUGAGAAGUUGAUCAGUCAAUUCAUCUAACCAUUUUGAAAUGCACUGAGACCUAACUUUUUAUGUGUUUGUCAAAUGGAGAUUACCCCAAGAGAAAAAAUGUUCUUAAGUAAUAUAUGAACAACUUUCAUGUUCAUCAAAAUUGAUUUGAAGCUUGGAAGGUCAUCAUCCAUUCCAAGACAUUAUAGGUCAUUUUGACUGAAACCCUAAUUUUAGGUCAACUUCCUAAGGACAUAACUCCUACAUUUUUCAUGAUUUUGAGGUGAGAUCUAAUGAAUUGGAGAGAGUAAGAUAUCUAAUUCAAAUGUUAUGUUUAGCAAAAUUGAAAAACCUCAAAAGAAAUACAUGUUAUAAUGCAAAACAUUAUAGGUCACUUUGGACCAAAUGCAUUGAAAUGUGAAAAAGUCCAACUUCAAGUGCCCAUAACUUCUUCAUCAAAAAUCCAAAUGAUGAAAAAUUUAAGUCCAAAUUGAUUGCCUUGAGACGAUCUACAACUUGCAUGUUGAAUAUUUUGUCAUUUGUAGUUUUCAUCAUUGAGACAGAAGGGCUUGAACAUUGGCCAAUUUUGAAAAUUUCACAUAUGCAUGUUUUGCACCCUACACUUCAAGUUCAAUUUUCAUUAAUUUCCAAGGCCCAAAUGGAGUUUUGAUCACAUUGGCCAAUUUUGAAAAUUUCACAUAUGCAUGUUUUGCACCCUACACUUCAAGUUCAAUUUUCAUUAAUUUCCAAGGCCCAAAUGGAGUUUUGAUCAACAUAACAUUUGUUCCUUAUGCAAUAAGAUUUCCAACCAUUACCCAUAAGGCUAUGUUUCAAUUUUGGAAGUAUCAUUUUCGAAGAGGGGAACUUUUAGUGCAUUUUUGGAAACUUGAUUCAAUUGCCAUGCAUGAUCCAAAUACAUAUCUUCUGCACGUCCAAAACAUAUUUGGUGAUGUUUAGCUUACCAUUCCAAUCAGAAUUGGGCCCUCCAUGCGCCUGUACUGGCCCAUGCAUGGAGGGCCUUUUCAUCCAUGCACACACUUUGCUCAUGCUUGCAGCUCCCUUCAUCUAUAAAUACAAGGCCUUGGCUUCAUAAUUGGACAACCUGAAGUCACCUGUUAUGCUGCACGAAUCCCUCCAUAGCCAUACUUAAAGGAACUUUCUCUUUUUCUUCAAAUUUUCAGAUCUAAAUUUCAGCUACACUGGUUGAUUUCUAGAUCUAUAGUUCCUAAACCUUGCUCAUCUUCAUCACUAGACUACACUGCAAGCAUUAGCAAAGGCGAAUUGUGCUCUCAAGAUCCACAUUUCAAAGGUGGAUAUCAGAACUUAUUUUCUCCGAAACUCUUUAUUCAUAGCUUAUUUCUUACAUUUGCUGGGUUGUGUGAAGUCCUCUCAAUAGAGGCAAUUGUUUUGUGCUUUGAAUUUUGCAAAUCCAUCAAGUUUCAGUUGAACACCAUAUUUUUCAACCUCUGAUUUCUCUCUCCAUGAAAGUCUAGAGUGAAAAUAGAUGGUACAGGGGUGAUGUACAUCACCCCAGCUUUACAUUGUUGUAUAGAUCGCCUCAUUUGGUGAAGGUUUAUUUUCUGCAACUCUCGUCGGAAUCUCUGGUCUCGCCGGAGAAGACGGUGGUGUACACCACCGUCCGUUUGCCAGUUUUGAUCCAGGUCGUUGAUGAUGAUUCCCAGAUUGAAUCAGGGCUCUUGGAUCUUAUGACUUUUUUUAAGUGUUUAUGUUGCUUAGUUGACUUAGGUCCAUGAUACGCGCGCAUGCCACAACCGUCUGAUCUGCCAGGUCAAUUAAUGAAUUGAAUCCAACGCGUGUGGUUUUUCCUAAUUUUCUAUUUCUGAUUUUAAUUUCCAUUUUAUUUCUCUUAUUCCAUUUCAUUUCAAAAAAUCAUAUCUCAUUCAUUAUUGAUCCAAAAAAUGUGAGACCAAUUGCAUUAUUUCUCUUUUAAUUUCUAGUUUCUAAAAAUGAUUUUUAAUAUUUUUUAUUUUAUCAUUUGAUAUUUUUCAUGAAUUUUCUCUUUUCUGGUUAUUUUUAAAUUUGAAGUUUGACCUUUCUUUAUUAUUUUAAUUCAAGUUUUAUUUAAAUAUUAAAAAAUGCCAAAAAUAUUUUAUUUGUUUCUUGACUUCUAAUUCUCAUUUUGCUUCUGUUUUCUAUUAUUUGACCUUGAUCUUCUCUAUCAUUGGUCAAUGUUUGUUGAUUAGUACAUACCAUUUCCAUCAAUGCACUUUAAUUCUUCAUUUUCUUCUUCUUCUUCUUCUUCUUUUUCUUUUUUGGAUCAAUGAGUUAAAGAUUGGUGGUUAGCAUUGAUUAGGGAGGUUUAAUCUUCCUUGAUUCAAAUCUAAUUCAUCUUUAUCAUGGAUCAAGUGAAUGGCUUUGCAUUAAGGAUAAAUUGCUUCCUAAAUCAUGCAAAGAACCUAAAUCAAUACAAGAUCAUUUCUCAUCUUCUUUUUGGCAUGGAAAGUUGUUGGAGUUUGAUUCACUAAUCAAGACCUCUAACUUGUGUUGUUGCCUACAUUAUUAUUGACCGGCCUCAGAUAGUUAUAGUUGUGACUUCUACAUAAGUCCAAUUACGAUUGCUUAACAUAGCGCUAAAUUUGCCUUAUGGCACACUAACUACUAACAUUAACCAUUAACCAUUAACAUUUAAUUCUUGCUCUUUACAUUUAUGAUAUUUAUUAUUCUUGUACAUAUUAUUCAUUUUCUUUUUCCUUUGCUCAUUUGAGCACAUGUUUAUGUUAAUGCAAUUUGCCUUUUGCUCACUUGAGCAUAUAAUUGUGUAUAUAUUAUUGUGCUUGUGUUUUGUUUAAUUGUUAUGGACCAAAUGCAAAGAAAUAGACAAAUGGACUUAGUUUCUAGGAUAUUCCCUAUGCAAAUUGGAGUAAAAGGAUCUUAAUAUUGAAGAUGGAUUGGAAGGACCAAACCUCUAAACUCACUCUUGUCCAUUCUUGAUUUGCUUCAUAAGACUCUUUGAUGUGUGUGUGCUUUUGUGCUAGGGGAUCCUAUGAGAUAUCAAAUUGAAGAAUCAUUGCCAUGUUCAUCCAAAUUGAAAGAUACAAGAGGCAUUGGGGAUCUUCUAAGAGCUUGUUUGAUUAUGUUGAUUGCUUGAGCUUACUAUUAUUUUGCUUGCAUAUUCCAAAGGAUGGGAGCUACUUGGAUCAUCAAUAUGAUCACAAGAGAGGAACUCCAUUUGUGGUCUUAUUUCUUAUCCCUUAUCUCUUAUAUGACUAGGACUUUAGCCAUUCUUUUCCCUUCCUCCACUCUAACCCAAGCUAAAACUUUUGUGCAAACAUUUAACACCUCUUUCUACACAUUAGAAACCUAAGCCUUAUGCUUUUCAUUUUCAAACUUCCUUUUAAUAACACUUAUUUUGAAUUGAAUCUUUAAGUCAACUUUGACCAUAUUUUGUAAAUACUUUUCAUUGGUAAAUAUAACCCAUUCAAAUACUUUUGUGGUUUCAAUGGCCAUUUCUAAUCAAAAUUUUUUCAUAACCUUUAGCUAUUAGGUUUGAGUUAUCCUUGAGGUUGAUGUAAUACUCACCUAUAUCCUUAGUGAUGGACAAUGAGUCUUCCAUGCUUAUUAUAGGGUUAACCCCUCACUAGCAUGUUAAAGCUAUCCUCACAUGGUGGAUUUGUGGUUUAGGUUGAGUUUUCUCCCUUGGAUAACAAAAGACCUUAAGGCUUUUGGACCAAUCAAUUCACCAACUCAUUUUUAAUAUUUUUACCCCGAACUACGAGGUUUUGAUCCUAAUCUUUUUUAAGAUGGUACGUAGGCAAUGGGUUUAUCCAUCCAAACACAAAAGGUAAAUAACUUGUAUAUUCUCUUCUCAUCUCUUCAAUCGUGUUUGCACAAACAAAUUUUCACAAAAUACCAACCUUACAACAAGUAUGAAAAUAGCUCCCUAGGAGUACCUAGGAUGUUUUGGGUGCUUAAAACCUUCCCAUUGCAUAACCAACCCCCUUACCCCGAUCUCUGACAUUUUUACUAGUUUUUGAUUCGAUAAAACUUUUAGGUUUUUGUUCAUAACCAUUCCUUUGGAUAAAUAGAAGUGCGGUGGCGACUCGACUUGUAUGGUUUACCUUGGAUUUAGUCAAUAUCUCUAAUGGUAACGAAUACCCUGCUACAGAAAAGUGGCGACUCUGCUGGGGACAUUUGCCUAGUGGGUUUUUCCUACUGUAAUACCCCAAAAUUUACCCUUCAUUUUUUCUGGAAGCAUGGGAUUAUGUUUUACAUUUCAUUAGCAUCAUACUAGGUCAUACUCAUUGCAUACUGCAUUAGUGACAUGGAAAUCAGGUUUUGAUUGAUCAUUCCUUGACAGAAGGAGCCCACAUAAAUCAAGAUUUAGAAUUGGACUUCAUUCUCUAAGAAUACAAGUCUCAAAGGUCUCGGGGGGCUCUAGGUGUCUUAUUAUGGUCCUUAGCUCAUCAGUGAAAGAUUCAGAGCUAUCAGAGUGUUCAUCUAGAUUUAAUCAAGAAAUUAGGGUUUAAGGCUACCUGCAACAGGCAAUGUUUGGUUGGAAGUAGAGGAGCUCAUCCAUGUCAUGAUUGGAGAGGCAUCUUGGCCUAGGAAGACUCACAAUUAUCUCAGAAAGAUCCAUUGGCAAGCAGUGCAACAGUCCCUAAUCAUUUUGCCCCAAAUUAGGGUUUGGUAUAAAUCAGCUUAUUUCUGAUUCUUUGGGUGAAACUAUUUUCCCAUGGCCCCAUAUGUCCACAUGGGUCUACAUACAAAAAAUCAGCUCUUUAUUUGAGUCAGAAGUGCUUCAAUUGAUCAAUGGAAUCGGGAAUCAGAUAGUUUGGGAAAAGUCAACUGUGGGCCAAGAAAGUCAACUCUUGACAUUUGGAGAGUGGAAUCUCAAAUCCAUGCCUAGGGGAUCCAUCAUGUGAAAUUGUCAGUUGGAUCUUGGAUUCAUCAUUUAAUCAGGAAUUGGAAAAGUUACUUAAUUUGGAAAUGGUUGACUUUCCAUUUAGGGCAAGUUUUCAUGAUUGUUGCACUCACUUUAAGCCCAUUUUCCAUCAAAAUAAAAGCUCCAUUUGAAAUUUUCUCCAACAUGAAAAUUGUUCAUCUUGUUCCAAGCUUUCUAGAUAUAUAAAGUUUUCUCCAUUUGGAUCAAAGUUGAAAAACUUAUGCUUGGUCAAAGUGACACAUUUAUUUAGGAUCUUCAAAGUUUGUCAAGACUUCUUGGCCAGUUUUCUUGCACUUCAAGGCACCAAUUGAAAAUGUUUUCUUCACAAUAAUUAUACCUUUCCAUGUCCUCUUUCACCUCCUUUUGGAAUCAUCUCAUUUGGAUCCAUGGUUUGAGAGAUGGAUUCAUCUAAAGUUGGCAUCAUGACUUGAAUUUCUAGGCAGCAUGUUAGGCCAAACUGGCCCAACCAUUUUGGCAUGGUGAGACCUGAACUUGAGGCCCAUUUUUCACCUUCUUCCAUUCAUCAUUUAGGCAGCAUGUUAGGCCAAACUGGCCCAACCAUUUUGGCAUGGUGAGACCUGAACUUGAGGCCCAUUUUUCACCUUCUUCCAUUCAUCAUUUCCACUUGUGCUCAACAUGAAAGAUGCUAUACUCCAUGGUCUUGCUACUGUUUGCAUCAAAGAUACAUGGCCACAAAGUCACCAUCUUGUGUAAGAGCCCAUUAAGAAUAUAUGACCCAUCAUAUGUAAGAACAAAAACCCUAAAUCUGAAGGUCAUAGUGAAUUUUAGAGCUAAGCAAGGAGGGAGUUCAUUCAAGUCAGAUUUCAUUUCUUUUCCAUUUCUCAAAGUUGAAGUUUCAAAGCACCAUUCUUCUUCCAUUUUCUCCACAACCAAGAGGCAGUGGACCUAGCUUCCACUAGGUAAUCAUCUUACUCCUUCUUCCAUGGCCAUGUAUAGCUUAUUAUGCUCAUCAUUAUGCUUGCUUCAUGCCAUUACCAUGCUCAUCAUCAUGCUGGUUUCCAUGUUAAUAUUAUGCUAUGCUCAUUUCUGAAGCCCUCAACAUGAGACAAUGUUCAUGUUGUGGAUUUGUUUUGUUUAUUUCUGCUCACACUCGUGGCCAUGUUGUCCUCUUGUUGUCAAUAUUUCUCCAUGAUUAAGCCAUCAUUUAACCUAAAACAAGUCACCAUGUUAAUCCUUGCAUUUCAUACUUGAUGUCUGGUUUUUAUUUCGUGUCUUUUGGUGCACUAUGGCAUGCGCAUUCUUGAGUGGAAGUUUGGAAAAACUCACUUCAUUUUCGCGAUUUCUGCAUGAUUAUGGCAUUAGGGUUUGGUUUGAGGAAGGAGAUGAUUACGUGUCAUCUUAGGAACCGUUAGAUCCAAGGCAUGUGUUUUAAUCCUGGCCAUUUAUUUGUUUUUGUCCUCUAGUGACUUAAGUACCCGUGACCAAUUGAUACAAGGUUACUUGAUUUAAUUUAUUAAAAUGUUAUUUGUUGUCACGCUGGUUUAAUAAUUGUUUGGACUGGGCCUGCGCUUUCCCGCUCUCCACACCCCCAAGUUCCAGGGCCCAUCAACACUAAUACUUUCUCUUUUCAUUUUCUUUUUUUAAUUUCCAUUUAUUUGCUGUUUUGAUUUUAAUUAUUUUAGAAUAUUUUCUUUAUUCAUAAAAAUCCCCAAAAAUAUUGUCCACAUUUCUUAAUGCCUUAUUUAAUUUUAUUUAAUUUUUAUUUUCGUAUUUAUUUAAUGUUAAUAUUUUAUUUCAAUUAUUAAUUCUAAAUGGUUCUUUUAAGCAUACCUUNUUUAUUUAAUUUUUAUUUUCGUAUUUAUUUAAUGUUAAUAUUUUAUUUCAAUUAUUAAUUCUAAAUGGUUCUUUUAAGCAUACCUUUAAUUCUUGAUUUUAUUUUCAUGGCUUAAAAUUAUUUUUAGCCUUUGAUUUUUGGGAUGAAGGUUGACCACUGUCCCAUGGUCAACCUGACAUUUUCUUGAUUUUUUAUUUCACAAUUUUCUAUUUAUUUGAUAACUAUUUUGGUUGGUUGACUUUUAGUUUGACCUUUAUUUUAUUUCAAUUAAUUCAUGAACCAAUUUUCAUUAUUUUUGAAAUCUUUUUGGGGGAUGAUGAUGUCCUGACCCCACCUCAUUUAGUUUAAUUUUUCAUAAUUUUCUUGAUUAAUUUGCUAUUUAUUUGACAUUUUUUAAGUUGACUUGAGCUUUCAGUUGCCUUCUUUAUGAUCGAUGUUUGAGUUAGGGAUUGCUUAUGGCAAUUGAAGAGACCUUUUGAUCCUCCCUUGUUCAUCUCAUAUGCCAUGUAUUAGAGGCCUUUUAUCUUGAUUUUAUUUGGUCCUUACCUCAUUUCCGGAUUAAAUUUUUCAGUGGACCCCUUUUGUGCAUCUUUUCAUCUGUCUGAUUCAUCUGAUAUUUGUUAUACUUGUUUCUUUCAUCCAUGCCUUCUUUUGCUUGAUUGUUUAACAUGUUCAUACUUCCUAUGCAUUGUUUAAUGCUCCAUCAUAUCAUUCUUUGAUUAUUUGACUUGAUUAUAUACCUGUCAUAUACUCUUAUUGUUUGAUAACUGUUGCCUACUUGUAUGAUGAUUGAGGCAUAUAUUCUUAUUGUUUGGUCGCCGUGAACCAUCCCCAUUUGUAACAAAUGUACCCCUCUCCCAAGAAGUGUAUAAUAUUUAUUCUCUCAUUCUUUAUUCAUCUGUUAAUACAAGAAUUAAAACGAACAUCCGAUAAUCAUUUCAAAACAAGAUCAAAAGCUCGACCCAACGUCGAGUAAUCAUUUUCAAAACUUAACAGAACCAGCAUGUAUUCAUUCAUCCUCUUGUAAGUCGAUCUCCUCAGGCAUCGCCAUUUCUCUUGUAAGUCGAUUGCUUCAGGAAACACCAUCUACCUCUUGUAAGUCGAUUGCUUCAUACAUCGCCAUCUACCCUUAUCCGUGGCUCCUCUCCUCGCUCCAUCCGUCAACUCUUGUUCUGUUUAGGUAACACCCAUUAGGUAGAACCUUUUGUAUUAUAACAUAGGUAGAAUUCCCUUAUUCUUUGCAUGCUAACAUUAGGUAGAUGUUUCCCUUCUGUAAAUCCUAAUACAUAGGUCCACAUUGCAUGACAACUCUAGGGCAGAGCUUCCCCACUUUUAGACCUUCCGUGCGUCUCCGAUCUUGUGGCAUGUCAAUCCGUUCUAUUGCAAAGAGGUAACUGCCUAAGACUCGAUUAGAGCUUCCCCACUUUUAGACCUUCCGUGCGUCUCCGAUCUUGUGGCAUGUCAAUCCGUUCUAUUGCAAAGAGGUAACUGCCUAAGACUCGAUUCAGCGAGCUGCGACACCUACUGCUAGGAUGUUGACCACAUUGCCCACUUUCCUUUGACACAGCUGGUGUCCUCUUUUGUAAGUCCAUGUUCAGAUGGAAAUCCAUAACCCCUAGUUAGGCGAACUACGACAACUCUGAUUCUCAUGUUCAGAUGAGAUACGUAGGCACGAGAUGUGAUGUCUUGCCGAGUUUGACUAACGACUAACAACUAAUCCUUGUUUACUUUCCCCCUUGCUGCGAUUCUUUUCUCUCGCCCUCGUUGCGAUCGAGACCUUCCCUUUCUCUUGCCCUAGUUGCAAUCGAGACCCUUGUUCCCGUAGUUAGCUGAACUACGUUUUUCUCUGAUUCUCAUGUUCAGAUGAGAUACGUAGGCAUAAGACACGAUGUCUUAGAGAGCACACUUCUCUUUCGCCCAUAGGUAGCUGAGCUACGAAGACUCUGAUUCUCAUAUUCAGAUGAGAUACGUAGGCAGUGGAUGCGACAUCCUUGCGAGUCAUUUUAUUUUAACCCUUCUUUUAGUAAAUAGUACCUUAGAUAUACCUACACCCUUUAGACUAGAACAACAAGAGUGGAUCCCGUAGAGUACUACAGAUGCGUAGGGGUGCUAAUACCUUCCCUUCGCAUAAUCGACUCCCGAACCCAAGAUUUGGUUGUGAGACCUUGUCUUUUCCUUCUCUUCAGGUUUUCUUCAAUCGUUUCCUUUCCCUUCUUUGGGAUAAAUAACGAACGGUGGCGACUCUUCUAUUUCUUUUUCUUCGCCGGUUGUUUUUUUUCGCACCAGUUGCGACAGCUGGAGACUCUGUUGGGGACCCGGUUUCCCUAUGCGAAUCCCUCCUAGCUUUUGUGAGUUUCUUGUUUGUUGGGUGUUUAUUCUUUUAUACAAUUAUUUACUUUCAGCAUUUAUCUGCUUUAUCUUAUUGCAUUAUGUACAUAUGAUUGUUGUAUCUGUUGGAUCUGUGGGGUUGGUUGUUUGUUGGGAUGGGUUGUUCUAUGAGAGAUAAGCCCACUACCCAGGCUUGAGCGUACACACAGGUUUUAGAGUGGAUAGUCAUGAGGCUUGCAUAGUAUGUUGCUACGUUAAGUCGUUCACGAAGACCCACACCAUGAUGAGGUUUCUUUUGGAUAUAUUCUGUCCUAUGAGUGUUCCAUAACGACAGACGUUCCUUUAGAAAUCGUCGACUCUGGUGACCAUUUCCCGAGGACUCAGUCGAGGGCUCUCCUCCGAGACGCGGUUAUGUUAGCUCUGGUGGGCACAUUCUCGCUGCUCAAUCCGAGGACCCCGAGGCUGGGAAUUGCUUUUAGGAUGUCCUGUUGAGGGGAGUCAGUGGAGGUCUUUUGUCUCGUAAUAAUGCUAAACCUUCAGUAGUAAACGUAUUAUUCUCGACUGAAGGACUAGAAGCUAAUGAACUUCUGUUCUUGGAACCUACCAGUGAGGGGCGGGCUAAAUUCAGGAAACCUUAACCUUCAACCAACCCAGUUUUCUGGUAUUCUUGUUGGAACAGAGCUUUGAUCUCUUAUAUGUUCCUCAGUGGUUUUCUCUUCAGACAGUGCGACCUGACAGUUGUUCAAGCAGAUACAGCAAUCAUGAUUCCCAUGUCACUGCAUUGCAUCACAUCAUUUUGCAUUCAUAUCAUUUAACACAUGUUUAUCCAUUACUAGGGGUUUAUAUCUUCUUCUUGAUUCUAGUCGGGGUUUUCUGGUUCUCCUAAGAUGGAUAUUGGCAGAAAAAGACAUGUCGCCUACAGAUUUCUUGUGGUUUGUUUGGAUCCCAUUCAACAGCUGAUGAAGUUAACGAAUCAUGAUUCUCUAGAAGGAUUCCGGAAGGAUUAUGGUUUGAUUCUAAGCUUCGUUACGGCUCUCUCCAAAGAUCAACACGAUGCUCUCUUUACACUGCUGCAGUUCUAUGACCCUACAUUGAGGUGUUUUACAUUCCCAGAUUAUAUCUUAGUCCCUACUUUGGAGGAGGUUGCCAGUUUUCUCAGAGUUCCUAUCAAGCCGCAGUUGCUAUUCUACAAUUCCAAGUUUCUGCCCGAUUUCAGCAUGGUUGCUUCAGCCACAUAUUUGGGGAAAUCAGUCUUGGAGUUUAAUAUGAGUCAGAAAGGAGGAGUUAAUGGUUUUCAUCUGAGUUUCCUAGUAGGAGAAGCCAAGAAGAAGCUUGAAGAUGGUGAUUGGAGGUGUUUCAAUGCUGUGUUGGCUCUUUGUGUAUACGGGAUUGUCUUGUUCCCUAAUGUUCCAAAAUUUGUGGACGUAGACGCAAUACACCUCUUCGUGUUGGGAAAUCCGGUGGCGACCUUGCUAGGAGAUUUCUUUCAUUCAGUGCAUCACAGGAAUGAGAAUAGAAAAGGAGGAUUGGUGAAUUGUUGUGCACCCUUGUUUCAUAAGUGGUUCAGUUCUCACCUACCCAAAUCAGGAGCGUUCAUUGACUUCAAGGACUCGUUGAGUUGGUCGAAGAGAUUGAUGGGGAUAAGAGCUAAAGACAUUUCUUGGUGGUCUGACCAGAACUUGCUUCGGGCGGAUAUCAUUCACAGUUGCGGGAACUUCCCGAAUGUGCCAUUGGUAGGAAGAAAAGGAGGGAUCAACUAUAAUCCUUCUCUAGCAGUCAGACAAUUUGGGUAUGCUUUGAAAACUCCGCCUUUGGAAAAAGAUGUGGAAGAAUCUCUGUUUUUCCAUUCCUCAUCUGAUUUGACUGUAUCCCAUAAGGCAGUUGAGGCUUGGCUCAAAGUGAUCAAGAGAGGAAGGACUGUGCUUGGAAAGGGAGAUUGCAGGACUUAUCAUCAAUAUGAAGAUUGGCUUCGGGGAAGAGUCGAAGAGUUUGGUCUGCCUUUUCCUAUUAAAGAACCUUUGUAUCCACCUACUCCUGAGCAGUCAACGAUGGUGAGUCGAGAGGAGUAUGACAAAUUGAAGAAUGCCAUUGAGGAACUUCAAACUAAAAACUCAGAGUUGCGUGUGAAAUUGCAAGAAUGUAUGCAUCUAUACCAUGAGGCAGAAUAUCAGAAGGGGGAAACUGUCAGAUUGCAAGAGGAAGCAGAGAAGAAACUGGUUGUGGAGGUUAACUUCUUCAGGAAAACUGACAAAGCCUUGGGGUCAUCCAGUUCUGAGUUGAGGCAAGUCAAGCAGUAGUUAACAGAUGCCUGUGGUAUGUUAGCUGGGUGGCAAGAGCAGUGGGAUGCAUUUUCAGCUUCUCGGAAGGCAAAAGAGAAGGAGAUGAUGGCCCAAUUGACCGGUCAGAUGGAGAAGUUGAAGACUCUGCUGAAGGAGAAGAACAAUGAGCUCUUGUGUGCCCGUACAACCAAUGGUUACAUCACAGAUCAACUCGACAAUGCUCAAGUACAUAUUGAAGAACUCAAGGUGCUGGCGGGUUUGAAGAAAUCUAGACUUGAAGAGGUGUUCGUGGAGGACGAUGGGAAUUACUACAUAGAGCACAUCAACGAGCUGGAUGGGAUUAUUCACAAGAGGAAUUUUCUUAUUCGGUGUUUAACAGAAUCUCUAGAUCAUCCUGACACGGUGGCACUACUGGCUGAAGUUAGGAGCAGUCCUUAUGGGUUGUAUACAGAAGGCUGAUUCCUGAUUUUUGUUCCUCUCUUUACUUGUUAUGUUUCUUUGUGGUUUUGUAGUGAUGAUCCACAGGCUUGUUGUGGAGAUCCUCUUUUGAUGUACUGUUGGCUAAGGCCAUUCUCUUUGAACUCGUUUGUAUGACGAUUUCUCUUUAUUGCAUCUUGGUCUCAAAAGUUUAUCCACGGCUCGAUCUUCUUGUACUGUUCAUCUGAUGUGAGACUGGAAUUAAGGGGUAGAGUACCCUUUGGAAUUGAUAAACAUGUCAUUGCAUUUGCACAUUCAUUAGCAUGUCUUGCAUAACAGGUACCGCCGCAAUGUUCUCAUUUUGUUUGAUAUUCCACUAGUAGGAUAGCUGACUCAGGCAUUCACCGGUACGGUACCCGCAGGAAUCAACAAAGAGCAAUGGAAGGCCUACAAGAAGAGCUUGUUGAGAUGAGGAUUUGCAUGAAUCAGUUCAUGGACGUGGUCCAAGGAGUGGCUCAGGGACAGCAGAAGCUCAGACAGAUGAUACAGAGGAAUCCCCCUACUACUCAACCAGAGAUGGUGAUUGAUCCUCCAGCUGGAGAGACCAAUGGACCCAAUAGACCGGGGCCUAUCCCUAUCCCACGUGUCAACCCUGAUCAACAACCCAUUCAUGAUGAUCAAGAGGAUCAGUUCACUCUGCUUCAAGAGGACUUUGGCAUGGGCCAUGGCAUGGACCUUAUGUUUAGGAGGUUGGAGGAGAGGUUGAAGGUUGUGGAAGGGCAGAAUGCUCUUGGUGUGGACGUUGCUGACUUGGGGCUGGUCCCAGGCGUGAGAGUUCCACCAAAGUUCAGAGUCCCAGUCUUUGACAAAUAUAAUGGCAACUCUUGCCCGAAGAGUCACGUGCAAGCUUACUUCCGCAAGAUGGUUGUGUAUUCUGAUGAUGAGAAGCUGCUCAUGUACUUCUUCCAGGACAGUCUAGCUAGGGCAUCCUUGGAAUGGUAUAUGAGGCUGGAUAGAGCCCAUAUUUGCUGCUGGAGAGAUUUGGCUGAGGCUUUUGUGAAGCAGUAUCAGUACAAUGUUGAUAUGGCACCUCACAAGACUCAACUCCAGAAUCUGUCUCUCAAGAGCAAUGAGUGCUUCAGAGAAUAUGCUCAACGCUGGAGAGAGACAACUUCCUGUGUUCAACCUCCGAUGAUGGAGAAGGAGAUGGCCAACAUGUUCAUGAACACACUUCCCGGGUCUUACUUGGAGCGUCUGGUGGGUUGCAACGCCUCCAAUUUCGCUGAUGUGGUCUCUACCGGUGAGAGGGUGGAGAACUACUUGAAGACGUGCAAGAUCCAAAGUGGGGUUGGAUCAUCAUUAGGGGCGAAGAAGCCGUUCAUACAGGGAUAAAAGAGGAGAGAAGGGGAUUGAAAUUCAAUAUCUUCUUAUCAGAACAGGGGUAACCGGAGGAACAGUUUUCAGAACUACCAUCAACAACCUUAUGUUGCAGUUGUGACCAUUUUGGCUGCAGCACCAGUGCAACAACAAUAACCUCAGCGUCAACAAACUCAAUACCAACAACCACAGGGUAACAGAGCUGCCUACCAACAGGGACAGAGGAUGUUGGACAGGCGUUUCGACACUCUUCGGAUGUUGCAUGCCCAGUUGUUUCCCAGCCUUCAACAGCUACAACUUGUGCAGAUACACACUUUGACUCCUCCUAUUGGCAGGCUUCCAGUGGGUUAUGACGCCAAUGCUAGGUGUAAUUUCCACUCUGGGGCACCUGGCUACUUUAUUGAGAACUGCAAAGCUUUUAAGCACACAGUUCAGGACCUUAUUGAUUCGAAGACCAUCAACUUUGUGCCAGCUCCUAAUGUUGUCAACAAUCCCUUGCCGCAACAUGGUGGUGCAAACGUUAACAUGGUGGAAGGAGAAUUCAAAGUCGUCAAGGAUGUGUUGAAGCUGAAGACACCGCUGUUGGAAAUCAAAGAAUACUUGUUGAAGGCAGAUGUUUUCCCCGGUUGUGGGAGCGGCUAUUUGGGUUGUACUGUACAGAGUGGGGGUUGUGUGAGGCUGGAGCAGGGUAUUCAGGCCUUGCUCGACGAUGGUAUCCACCAAGCUGAAGACCUAUCUGCCCAAAGGUCUAUUGAAGGGGUUGUUGUAGGGGAUGUUGAAGAGAAUGCUGAUGUUGAUCCUCUCUUUCCUGAAGAUGCCGUGGAUGCUAAAGAAUUUACAAAUGUUGUUCCUGCUGAUUUUGUAAUCCCUAGUGAUGUAAUUAAUUCUUCAGAUGUUGUUGUUGAUAUUCCAAACAAUGUAUUUAAUUAUGAUGUAUUUGUUGAGCCUGAUUCCGAUGUUUCGGAUGCUUGCAUUUCAAUGAAUAAGAUUUCUAAGUAUGACUGUGAUGUUGCCACUAUCACAAUUUUCUACCCAACUGCUUAGAUCAGUGUGCCAGUAGCGCAACCGGUGCCACCAGUGCGACCAUCCACUAUGACCAUCACGACCCCUGGUCCUUUACCUUUCACCAGCGAAAGGGCCAUUCCUUGGCAUUAUGGGGGGAGUGUGUACACGCAUGAUCAUGGAGUGGAGCAGCCACUGAAAAUAGAAGAGGUGCAGGAUCAGAGGUCUGAACCUGGAGUUGAGGUAAAAGAUCCCGCAGUGGACAAUAUUGGUGGAAUCGGGCGAUUCACCAGAAGUGGUAGACUAUUCUCACCACCGGUUACCCAACUUGAUAGUGCUGAUGCCGCGGCGAAGGCCAAAGGCAAGCAAGUUGUGAAUGAGGGUACCUCUGCACCACAGGCUGGCUCUGACCCUACUUUUGCGAAGGAUGUGGACGAGCUCUUGAGAAUCAUAGAGAAAAGUGACUACAAGGUAGUCGAUCAGUUGAUUCAGACGUCGUCCAAGAUAUCUAUUCUAUCACUCCUGCUGUGUUUGGAGGCACACAGGGAGGCAUUGUUGAAGGUCCUUAAUGCUGCAUAUGUGCCUCAGGAGAUCUCAGUGAACCAACUGGAAGGGAUCAUUGCAAAUGUUCAUGCGAGCAACAGGUUGGGUUUUACUGAUUCUGACUUGACACCAGCUGGACGCAAUCAUAACAAGGCUUUGCACAUCUCGAUGGAAUGCAAAGACACCGUGUUAUCCCAUGUUCUGGUGGAUACAGGUUCCUCUCUCAAUGUGUUACCCAAGAGAGCCCUGUCAAGGUUAGAUGUAGAAGGUUUGAUCUUGAAGCCUUCCGAUCUUGUUGCGAGAGCCUUCGGUGGUUCUAAGAGGUCGGUGUUCAGAGAGGUAGAAUUGCCAAUUUAGAUUGGAUCACAAACCUUCAACACUGUCUUCUAUGUGAUGGAUAUCAGUCCUUCGUAUAGCUGCUUGUUGGGUCGUCCUUGGAUCCACAAUGUUGGGGCAGUCUCCUCGACCUUGCAUCAGAAGAUCAAGUUCCCGGUCAACAAACGAAUUAACACUGUCUGUGGUGAGGAGGAUAUUCUAGUCAGUCACUUGUCUACAUUCAAGUAUGUAGAGGUAGAAGGUGAGAUUCAUGAGACCCUGUGUCAGGCCUUUGAGGCAGUUCAAGUCAAGGAUGCAGCUCCGGUGGAAGAGGUUAAAGUAGGUGCCUCUAUUUCGUCCUUUAAGCAGGCGCAGGCCUUGGUAAAUUCAGGUGUUGCUCCCGGUUGGGGACGUCUGUUGGAUUUACAUGUAAAGGAAGACAAGUUCGGGAUUGGGUAUCAGCCAACAUUGACUUCUACAACUUCAACGUCUUAGACUCGUCAGGGGCCGAUUACUUUCUCCAGUGCUGGCAUCAUUCAGUAUGGCCAGGUCUCUGCAAUCAACAAAGAAGAUGAAGAUAGUGAUUGCGACAUAGACAACUGGGUGCAUCCAAGGGUCCCGGGUGAAGUUCUCCGCAAUUGGUCUUCUGAAGAGAUUAUCCAAGUCACUCUUCUUGAAGAGUAAUUUUCUUUGUUUGUUUGUGCAUAUCCAAGUCUUACAUUCCGCCCAGGGCGUAAUGACUCAUUGUAGGGCUCAUCUAUGUGAAUACCUGCAUUUUUUAUCAUAAAUAAAGGACGUCUUUUUGCAUUCAAAUAUUUUGUUCACUGUAUCAUUGUAGGGCUCAUCUAUGUGAAUACCUGCAUUUUUUAUCAUAAAUAAAGGACGUCUUUUUGCAUUCAAAUAUUUUGUUCACUGUCUUUCUAUUUUUGCAGUUUUCAAAAAUCAAAAAAUAUUUGGCAAUGUUUUGUUUAGUUUUCACUCAUUAUUCACACUCAUAAGCACAUACCAUCACUCAUGCAGCUGCACGUCACCGGAUCCUAUUGAUAACAGUUCUACUAUGGCUCGCUUCGACUUUGAAAAUCCAAUCUUUCAAGCUGAAGAAGAGGGUGGUGAAGACUGUGAACUCCCUGAAGAACUUGCCAGGUUGUUAAAACAGGAGGAAAGGGUCAUUCAACCGUAUCAAGAGUCAAUUGAAGUGAUUAAUCUUGGCACCGAGGAUGUCAAGAGAGAAAUCAAGAUAGGGGUUGCUUUGGAAGAUAAUGUGAAGAAGGGGCUAAUUGAACUGCUGCAAGAGUAUGUUGACAUUUUCGCUUGGUCUUAUCAGGAUAUUCCAGGGCUUGACACAGAUAUUGUGGUACACCGUUUGCCUCUCAAAGAGGAUUGUCCUCCGGUCAAGCAGAAGCUCAGAAGAACAAGACUAGAGAUGACUGUCAAGAUAAAGGAAGAAGUGCAAAAAUAGUUGGAUGCAGGGUUUCUAGCGGUUACAAAUUAUCCGCCAUGGGUUGCAAAUAUCGUUCCAGUACCUAAGAAGGAUGGAAAGGUACGGAUGUGUGUUGACUACCGGGAUCUGAACAGAGCUAGUCCAAUUAUCCGCCAUGGGUUGCAAAUAUCGUUCCAGUACCUAAGAAGGAUGGAAAGG
rnacentral:lncRNA from 1 species